UGGGAAGUCCAAGAUCAUGAGCAUCUGG
rnacentral:piRNA from 1 species